AACAUUCCAAAGGACUCAACCCUAGCUGAGGACGGAAGAGAUCUGCUUAGGAUAGAACACCCAAUAUGUGGGGAAUUUUAGGUCAACACCAUAAAACAAUGGGAGAUAACCCCACAGAGAGAAUAAUCAACAAAAGUUGCUCAAAAACCAUGAGAAAACUCAGACUGGGAGCCAGUUGGGUGGUGAAUAGUGGAGAAUCAAUGCAAUCUACUAGGGAAGAUCGACC
rnacentral:lncRNA from 1 species